rnacentral:rRNA from 1 species
AUUGAACGCUGGCGGCAUGCCUUACACAUGCAAGUCGAACGGUAACGGGCCUUCGGGUGCCGACGAGUGGCGAACGGGUGAGUAAUACAUCGGAACGUGCCCGAUCGUGGGGGAUAACGAGGCGAAAGCUUUGCUAAUACCGCAUACGAUCUACGGAUGAAAGCAGGGGACCGCAAGGCCUUGCGCGGACGGAGCGGCCGAUGGCAGAUUAGGUAGUUGGUGGGAUAAAAGCUUACCAAGCCGACGAUCUGUAGCUGGUCUGAGAGGAUGAUCAGCCACACUGGGACUGAGACACGGCCCAGACUCCUAUGGGAGGCAGCAGUGGGGAAUUUUGGACAAUGGGCGCAAGCCUGAUCCAGCCAUGCCGCGUGCAGGAUGAAGGCCUUCGGGUUGUAAACUGCUUUUGUACGGAACGAAAAGCCUUCUUUUAAUACAGGAGGGUCAUGACGGUACCGUAAGAAUAAGCACCGGCUAACUACGUG